rnacentral:rRNA from 1 species
UUAAAUUGAAGAGUUUGAUCAUGGCUCAGAUUGAACGCUGGCGGCAGGCCUAACACAUGCAAGUCGAACGGUAACAGAAAGCAGCUUGCUGCUUUGCUGACGAGUGGCGGACGGGUGAGUAAUGUCUGGGAAACUGCCUGAUGGAGGGGGAUAACUACUGGAAACGGUAGCUAAUACCGCAUAACGUCGCAAGACCAAAGAGGGGGACCUUCGGGCCUCUUGCCAUCGGAUGUGCCCAGAUGGGAUUAGCUUGUUGGUGGGGUAACGGCUCACCAAGGCGACGAUCCCUAGCUGGUCUGAGAGGAUGACCAGCCACACUGGAACUGAGACACGGUCCAGACUCCUACGGGAGGCAGCAGUGGGGAAUAUUGCACAAUGGGCGCAAGCCUGAUGCAGCCAUGCCGCGUGUAUGAAGAAGGCCUUCGGGUUGUAAAGUACUUUCAGCGGGGAGGAAGGGAGUAAAGUUAAUACCUUUGCUCAUUGACGUUACCCGCAGAAGAAGCACCGGCUAACUCCGUGCCAGCAGCCGCGGUA